GGUAUUACGCCGGAGUUGAACGGAUUACAUUGAUGCUGUAAAAUAUGAGAUUUUUGUUUCUCUAGUACCU
rnacentral:tRNA from 1 species